GAGGACCAGAAUUGAGCAGUGAAAAAGCUCUGCGAAGAUCAAGCCUCAAAGCCUUCAAGAACUUCAACCCCAAAAUUGGAGAACAUUCGAAGCAGAAUCAUCCAGAUCAUCUGCCUAGAUCCUAAAGUUUGCGGGAAUCAAGCUCAAAGGUCCGAAAACAUCAACAAAUCAUAAAUCAAUGAAGCUCUACAGAUUCAAGCCUCCAAAGCCCCGAAGAACUUCCACCACAAAUCUUCAAAUACAAAGAACAUUCGAAGCAGAAUCAUCCAGAUCAUCUGCCUAGAUCCUAAAGUUUGCGGGAAUCAAGCUCAAAGGUCCGAAAACAUCAACAAAUCAUAAAUCAGUGAAGCUCUAUGGAUUCAAGCCUCCAAAGCCCCGAAGAACUUCCACCACAAAUCUUCAAAUACAAAGAACAUUCGAAGCAGAAUCAUCCAGAUCAUCUGCCUAGAUCCUAAAGUUUGCGGGAAUCAAGCUCAAAGGUCCGAAAACAUCAACAAAUCAUAAAUCAGUGAAGCUCUACGGAUUCAAGCCUCCAAAGCCCUGAAGAACUUCCACCACAAAUCUUCAAAUACAAAGAACAUUCGAAGCAAAAUCAUUCAAACUAUCUACCUAGAUCUCAAAAUUCACUGGAAUCAAGCUCAAAAGCCUCCAGAAACCUCAAACAACCACAAAUCAGUGAAGCUCCAUGGAUUCAAACCUCUAAAACCCCGAAGAACUUCCAUAACAAACCCUCAAAUAUGAAGAACACACGAAGAACACGAAGAACGUGAAGAACAAGGGAUUUCCAACAAGCUCAUAGCCAGAGAUUCAUUGUAAUUCUGUUCCCAAGAUCUUCGAUCCAUUCUUCAGCCAAAUUGAAGUACAUUGGGUGAUCGAAUCAAAAUCACAUUACUACAAAUCUAAUCAACAAGUCUUUUAAGGAGAUCGAAUCAGAGGAUAACUCUUUUGUAAUCACAGAGAAUUGUACCACACAAUCAUUAAUACAAAUUCGCAUUUGUGAAACUA